CUUCUAACGGAAGCCAUCAAAUCGAAAGAACCAGUCUGCAACCUUUUUCAUGUGCUGAUUGUUUAGAGUUCAUAUAUCAAAAUGAGCGACGAAGAAAAUAACGAGGCAGAGCCAAAAAUCAUGGAAAUCGACGAACAAAUCGUCGUCCGCACUCCUGAAGAAAUGAAGGAGAUGGGAAACCAAUAUUACAAAGAGAAGAAUUAUACAGAGGCUAUCUCAUGUUACACUCAGGCAAUCAACUUGUGUCCAAACUGUGCUGCUUAUUAUGGGAACCGCUCCGCCUGUUAUAUGAUGUUAAACAAAUAUUCUGAUGCACUCGAAGAUGCUCGCAAUGCUCUCAGAAUAGACAGCACAUUUGUCAAAGGCCACCUACGAGAAGGCAAGUGUCAAAUAGUUAUGGGGGAUCCGUCAGCAGCCAUCCGCUCAUAUAACACAGCCCUUGAACUCGACCCAGAAAACAAAACUGCCCAAACAGAGUUGAGAAUGGCACAGCAAAUGCAAAACUGUGUAGAUACUUUAGAAAAGGACCUUGAAAAGAAUGAUUUUAGAAAGGCAUUGUUUGUUAUUGACCAAUGUUUAAAACAAGCCCCAGCAUGCGUGCGAUUCAAAAUCCAGCGGGCAGAGGUUCUCACCUUUCUUGGAAGAUACCAGGAAAGCCAGGAACUUGCUAAUGACGUUUUACAACGGGAAGGUAUGAACCCUGAUGCCCUGUAUGUGCGGGGUAUGUGCCUGUAUUAUCAGGACAACAUUGACAAGGCGUUCCAACAUUUCCAACAGGUGCUCCGUCUAGCCCCUGACCAUCAAAAGGCCAAAGACACUUACAAGAAAGCCAAGCAGUUGAUAUCGACAAAGGAGGAGGGAAAUAAGGAGUUCCGAUCGGGGAAGUUUAAUGAGGCUUACAACUCUUACACAGCCGCGCUGUCUAUAGACCCAAACAAUAAAUUCACCAACUCAAAACUAUACUGUAAUAGAGCCACAGUCUGUACUAAGAUUGGGAAGCUGGAGCAGUCAGUAGACGAUUGUUCUGCGGCCAUUGACCUUGACAACACCUACAUUAAGGCGUACAUGAGGAGAGCAAAGAGCUACAUGGAUUUGGAAAAGUAUGAAGAAGCUGUUAGAGACUAUGAAAAAAUAUGUCAAUUGGACAAAACCAGAGAAAAUAAGCAAUUGUUACAAAACGCUAAGCUGGAGUUAAAAAAGAGCAAAAGAAAAGACUACUACAAAAUCCUGGGUGUGCAUAAAACUGCAUCAGAGGACGAAAUCAAAAAAGCAUAUAGAAAACGAGCCCUUGUACAUCACCCAGGUAAGCGUAUAGAAAACGAGCCCUUGUACAUCACCCAGAUCGUCACUCACACGACACGCCAGAGAAACAAAAAGAGGAAGAGGUAACGUUUAAGGAAGUUGGGGAGGCAUACUCCGUCUUAUCCGACCAGAAGAAACGACAACGGUAUGACACUGGACAGGAUCUGGAGGAAAUGGACGGCUACGGGCCUGGAUUCCAUGAUUUCGACCCGAACCUAAUAUUCCAGUCUUUCUUCAGCCAGGGCGGGGGUCAGUCGUAUGGAGCAGGGGGCGGUGGAUUUCCAGGGGGAUUUUCAUUUCAAUUUGGAUAACAUGAAUCAUCCGUUGUAGUGUCCCAAAUGUUUCUGUCUGUGUUAUGUUUGAUUUACUAAGGUAUCUGAUACACAAAUACAUGUGUAUGCUAUUUUAAUGCAUGGAAAGUCCAUAUUAUUUUGAUAUAAUUUCAGUAAAUAUGAGCUAUUUGAAUAUGCACUGAAUCCAAUAACACACAUUAUAAACAUGGUCAAGUUGGCCAUUUGGUUGUUUAUUUAAAAAAAGAUUAGAUUUCUUAACUUAACAGCAAGCAAUACCCAUUCAUAUGAUGUUGAAAGUAUUUUGUUCUCUAGCUAGCAUAAACAUGUAACGGUAAGGACAAUGACUCAAUGAAAUGUCUUAUUAAUACACUAGAUACCUUAACAUUGGACAACGAGAUGGAUAAUAGGUCCAUCAAAUGUAUUGCGUGUAUACUGGAUACCUUAAAAUAUCAUGGGUCCUGCUGAAAGUAACAAUUUCUGUUUCGUUAAGACUGUGAACGUAUUGCUAU